rnacentral:rRNA from 1 species
GAUGAACGCUGGCGGCGUGCCUAAUACAUGCAAGUCGAGCGAACGGACGAGAAGCUUGCUCCUCUGAUGUUAGCGGCGGACGGGUGAGUAACACGUGGAUAACCUACCUAUAAGACUGGGAUAACUUCGGGAAACCGGAGCUAAUACCGGAUAAUAUUUUGAACCGCAUGGUUCAAAAGUGAAAGACGGUCUUGCUGUCACUUAUAGAUGGAUCCGCGCUGCAUUAGCUAGUUGGUAAGGUAACGGCUUACCAAGGCAACGAAGCAUAGCCGACCUGAGAGGGUGAUCGGCCACACUGGAACUGAGACACGGUCCAGACUCCUACGGGAGGCAGCAGUAGGGAAUCUUCCGCAAUGGGCGAAAGCCUGACGGAGCAACGCCGCGUGAGUGAUGAAGGUCUUCGGAUCGUAAAACUCUGUUAUUAGGGAAGAACAAAUGUGUAAGUAACUGUGCACAUCUUGACGGUACCUAAUCAGAAAGCCACGGCUAACUACGUG